AUUGAACGCUGGCGGCAGGCCUAAAACAUGCACGUCGAGCGAGCGGCGGACGGGGGAGUAAUGUAUGGGGCCUGCCAGAUAGAGGGGGAUAAAUACUGGAAACGGUGGCUAAUACCGCAUAUGGUAGGAUAAAACAUAUGGGAUUAGAUAGUAGGUAAGGUAAUGGAUUACCUAGGAGACGCUCCCUAGCUGGUCUGAGCGGAUGAUCAGCCACACUGGGACUGAGACACGGCCCAGACUCCUACGGAGGCAGCAGUGGGGAAUAUUGCACAAUGGGCGCAAGCCUGAUGCAGCCAUGCCGCGUGUAUGAAGAAGGCCCUAGGGUUGUAAAGUACUUUCAGUCGGGAGGCGUUACCGACAGAAGAAGCACCGGCUAACUCCGUGCCAGCAGCCGCGGUAAUUC
rnacentral:rRNA from 1 species